rnacentral:tmRNA from 1 species
GGGGUAGUAAAGGUUUCGACGGGGGUUUUGCAGCCGGAGAAGCUAUCCGCAGGUGAUGCGUUAAAUCACAAACCUAAAUAUAAACGCUAACGAUAAUUUAGCUUACGCUGCCUAAGGGCGGCUGUCUGACUUAGGGCACCUACACUUUAAGACCCAGGCAUCGACUAUGUAGGAAACGACGUAUAUUAAGCUUUGCGUAUACGGGCGUAUCAUGAAGCUACCGACGGUAUCAGGAUGUUGGUUUUCGGAUGCCGGAGGGAAUGCAAAGAACCGACUAUGAUAGUAGAAGGACGGGGAAUAGGCUUUCGGACAUGGGUUCGACUCCCAUCUACUCCAUUG